rfam:Shigella dysenteriae Sd197 plasmid pSD1_197, complete sequence.
GUGGUUGAUAAACCCCUAAAAAGAUUCCGUUUUAUCCGGAAUAAAGGGACGAUAUAUGCAAAAACAUAUUAAACAAAGCCUCAACCAAAACAUGAGAGCUGUGUUAUAUAUCAAUGCAAC